rnacentral:lncRNA from 1 species
GGGAAUUCAACUAAGUUAAUUAAAAUUUCUAUAGUUAGAGUUAAACAACAAAUAAUAAGUAAUCACAAUUAAAUAAUUAAAGAGUAAGGGAGAAGUGGAAUUUGGGCCUUUCUUGGGCCAAAUUCGCUACUUUUUUGGGGUUUAAACAAAACCCGUUUUUGGUAUACAGCUCAUGUAUAUCAGUGUAUAUCGGCAUGUAUAUCAUCCCCUUUUAUGUAUUUCUUGCUUCCAAACACAUGUAUUUUGCUCCAGCCCUGUAUUCCUGCGUUUUUGACAUGUAGAUCGAUGUAUAUCGAUGUAUACGACCCCCUUUGGGCUUUUCGGGAUCUGAAAAUUUUGAUUUCCAGGCCUUACACUGCCUGUAACCUGUAAAUCUGCCUCCCCACGAUCCACAUAAAGACGGGUUGACUCGAUGGAAAUUUGAGCUUUCACGGCUCAUCUCGGAAAUGCAAAGAGAGAGUCCACAAGGACUCGGACAGAUUUCAUAGCAAGCAAAAGAAAGACAAAAUCAAGUUAGCAAGGGAAAACCAAUCUUAAAUAAUAACAAAGAAAAUGUAGCUUAGAAGAAAAAAAUCCAAGAUAACUACACACAAAUGAGAGAAAGCAAUUAACAAUUUACUAGACUUUAGACUCAAACUCAAAUUGGAAAAGGGCCACACAAAUAGCAGAUAAAAAUAUAAAGCCAAAACUCAAUACAUACGACCAAAUUGAACAAAGAUAAGCUCAAUAGAAGAACACAUACAAAAGGGUAGUUGAUUGGCAAAGACCUAGCUAAAAUACUAUAUAAGUAAUUAGAGGAAAAAAUGAUUAACUUUGACAAGAGAGCUACUGCCUCAAGGAAAUCAAAGCCAAACCUCUCAUUGUAUCUCACUAAUGCCUAUUCAAAUCACAGUGAAUGAACCAAAUACAUGACACAAGAGAUCUAGAAAUCAUGCCAAUGAGAUAGCUAACAUUUACUUAAAUCGCAACUACUCAUAGCAAAGAGUCAAAACAAUUAGAAAGCAAACAACAAUUUAUAUCUCUUUUUCUUUUUAUUGAAACAUUAACUAAUACAGAAUCACCAAAACAAUCAUAAGAUGAAAAAGGACAGCAACUUUGAAAGAGCAAAGAAAGUGGAAAUAAACAAAAUCCAAGGUCUAGAGAGAAAAUGAGACAACAGACGGAUAGAGAACUACAAGUAUGAGGAGCCUUCGAGACAUUAAUCACGGAAAAGCAAGUCGUCAAAUCGAACCGAUUUCUAUCGUCACAUAAUGUACAUGAUUAUAACGCUUAAAGAGAGUAAUAUUGAUAUUCAGCUCAUAUAUAGGUACAUUCCAAGAGACAUGAACAUUUUUCUAAACAACCAAUGAAAUCUUAAAGUAUGUGAGUACUAAGACGAGAUCAUAAUAACAUAAGAGACGAGUACAAAUCGAAGUGCUUGGAAUUUAUAAUAGGAAUGAGUACAACAGAAGUAUUCACAAUAAUCUUAGAACAGUAGACAUAAUACAAGUUAUUGGACUAAUAAAAUGACCGAAUGGAAAUCGCUAAAAAGAAUAGUUACAACUAAAUUCAUUUUGCGAAAAUGAUUGGCAAGUUAAACUAAAGUAAAUCGAGAUUGGAAUUUUAUUUUAUUUUUACCUUUUUGAGGGCAGCGAGCUGAGGCAAGAGCGAGCAGAGACCAUGAGCUUCCGCCACCGAAACAAAACCCUGAGAAAUCCGAUGAAGGAAACAGAAGCUAACCAGAAAACGGAGUAAGUAAAAUCUGGAUUUUUCAGCCUAUUUCGAAACCUAUUUUCUAAGUAUUCAUAUAUAAUUAUAUAUGACUAGUAAUUUUGCUCUGUUUUUCUUUCUAAUGCCGACUCUUAUCUAGCUUUUUGUAAGCUAUCCCCCGCCCCGAAGACGUUAAUGGAAGGAAAGUAUAUAUAGGAAGAGAAUGGGAUCGAUUAGGGGGGAAACUUUUGAGCAAAAGAUUCAAAAUCUUUUGAAUUUUUUCCUCUUUUCAAAGGCAAACAGUAGAAAGGAUGGAGACUUCUGACAAAAGGGGACGAUGGGACGGGAUGAGUGUAGGUUUGCAGAUUUCUCGCCGG